rnacentral:rRNA from 1 species
UAAGGAAUAUUGGUCAAUGGAGGCAACUCUGAACCAGCCAUGCCGCGUGAAGGAUGAAGGCCCUCUGGGUUGUAAACUUCUUUUAUCUGGGAAGAAAUGCCAGUUUUCUAAUUGGUUUGACGGUACCAGAGGAAUAAGCACCGGCUAACUCCGUGCCAGCAGCCGCGGUAAUACGGAGGGUGCAAGCGUUAUCCGGAUUCACUGGGUUUAAAGGGUGCGUAGGCGGGCAGGUAAGUCCGUGGUGAAAUCUCUGAGCUUAACUCAGAAACUGCCAUGGAUACUAUUUGUCUUGAAUAUUGUGGAGGUAAGCGGAAUAUGUCAUGUAGCGGUGAAAUGCUUAGAUAUGACAUAGAACACCAAUUGCGAAGGCAGCUUACUACACAGUUAUUGACGCUGAGGCACGAAAGCGUGGGGAUCAAACAGGAUUAGAUACCCUGGUAGUCCACGCCCUAAACGAUGAUUACUCGACAUCAGCGAUACACUGUUGGUGUCUGAGCGAAAGCAUUAAGUAAUCCACCUGGGAAGUACGAUCGCAAGAUUGAAACUCAAAGGAAUUGACGG